AGAGUUUGAUCCUGGCUCAGGACGAACGCUGGCGGCGCGCCUAACACAUGCAAGUCGAACGGAGCUUAGAGAGCUUGCUUUUUAAGCUUAGUGGCGAACGGGUGAGUAACGCGUGAGUAACCUGCCCUAGAGUGGGGGACAACAGUUGGAAACGACUGCUAAUACCGCAUAAGCCCACGGUGCCGCAUGGCACAGAGGGAAAAGGAGCAAUCCGCUUUGAGAUGGCCUCGCGUCCGAUUAGCUAGUUGGUGAGGUAACGGCCCACCAAGGCGACGAUCGGUAGCCGGACUGAGAGGUUGAACGGCCACAUUGGGACUGAGACACGGCCCAGACUCCUACGGGAGGCAGCAGUGGGGAAUAUUGCACAAUGGGGGAAACCCUGAUGCAGCGACGCCGCGUGGAGGAAGAAGGUUUUCGGAUUGUAAACUCCUGUCGUUAGGGACGAUAAUGACGGUACCUAACAAGAAAGCACCGGCUAACUACGUGCCAGCAGCCGCGGUAAAACGUAGGGUGCAAGCGUUGUCCGGAAUUACUGGGUGUAAAGGGAGCGCAGGCGGGAAGACAAGUUGGAAGUGAAAACCAUGGGCUCAACCCAUGAAUUGCUUUCAAAACUGUUUUUCUUGAGUAGUGCAGAGGUAGAUGGAAUUCCCGGUGUAGCGGUGGAAUGCGUAGAUAUCGGGAGGAACACCAGUGGCGAAGGCGGUCUACUGGGCACCAACUGACGCUGAGGCUCGAAAGCAUGGGUAGCAAACAGGAUUAGAUACCCUGGUAGUCCAUGCCGUAAACGAUGAUUACUAGGUGUUGGGGGAUUGACCCCCUCAGUGCCGCAGUUAACACAAUAAGUAAUCCACCUGGGGAGUACGACCGCAAGGUUGAAACUCAA
rnacentral:rRNA from 1 species